AACGAACGCUGGCGGCAGGCCUAACACAUGCAAGUCGAACGCCGUAGCAAUACGGAGUGGCAGACGGGUGAGUAACGCGUGGGAACAUACCCCUCGGUUCGGAAUAACUCAGGGAAACUUGAGCUAAUACCGGAUACGUCCGAGGUUUUAAUCGACCUUGGAGAAAGAUUUAUCGCCGGAGGAUUGGCCCGCGUCUGAUUAGCUUGUUGGUGAGGUAAUGGCUCACCAAGGAACGCGANCAGUAGCUGGUCUGAGAGGAUGAUCAGCCACAUUGGGACUGAGACACGGCCCAAACUCCUACGGGAGGCAGCAGUGGGGAAUAUUGGACAAUGGGCGAAAGCCUGAUCCAGCCAUGCCGCGUGAGUGAUGAAGGCCUUAGGGUUGUAAAGCUCUUUUACCCGGGAAGAUAAUGACGGUACCGGGAGAAUAAGCCCCGGCUAACUUCGUGCCAGCCGCCGCU
rnacentral:rRNA from 1 species